CGCUGGCGGCGUGCUUAACACAUGCAAGUCGAACGAGAGGACAAGAGAAGCUUGCUUCUUUUGGAAUCGAGUGGCAAACGGGUGAGUAACACGUAAACAACCUGCCUUCAGGAUGGGGACAACAGACGGAAACGACUGCUAAUACCGAAUACGCUUGGGAGACCGCAUGAUCUACCAAGGAAAGGGUGGCCUCUACCUGUAAGCUAUCGCCUGAAGAGGGGUUUGCGUCUGAUUAGGCAGUUGGUGAGGUAACGGCCCACCAAACCUACGAUCAGUAGCCGGUCUGAGAGGAUGAACGGCCACACUGGAACUGAGACACGGUCCAGACUCCUACGGGAGGCAGCAGUGGGGAAUCUUCCGCAAUGGGCGAAAGCCUGACGGAGCAACGCCGCGUGAGUGAUGACGGCCUUCGGGUUGUAAAGCUCUGUGAUCGGGGACGAACGGUCCGUAAGCUAAUACCUUAUGGAAGUGACGGUACCCGAAUAGCAAGCCACGGCUAACUACGUG
rnacentral:rRNA from 1 species